GCGCCCGUAGCUCAAUGGAUAGAGCAUCUGGCUUCGGACCAGAGGGUUGUGGGUUCAAGUCCUGCCGGGCGCG
rnacentral:tRNA from 1 species